rnacentral:rRNA from 1 species
AAUGGGGGAAACCCUGAUCCAGCCAUGCCGCGUGCGUGAUGAAGGCCUUAGGGUUGUAAAGCGCUUUCGGCGGGGACGAUGAUGACGGUACCCGCAGAAGAAGCCCCGGCUAACUUCGUGCCAGCAGCCGCGGUAAUACGAAGGGGGCUAGCGUUGUUCGGAAUUACUGGGCGUAAAGGGCGCGUAGGCGGCCCUGCAAGUCAGAGGUGAAAGUCCUGGGCUCAACCUGGGGAUUGCCUUUGAGACUGCGGGGCUGGAGACCGGGAGAGGGUAGCGGAAUUCCCAGUGUAGAGGUGAAAUUCGUAGAUAUUGGGAAGAACACCAGUGGCGAAGGCGGCUACCUGGACCGGUUCUGACGCUGAGGCGCGAAAGCGUGGGGAGCAAA